GGCGUUGACAGUACAGAUAUGCUAUACACACACCUUAGCCCCGCAAGGCAAGACUCAAGCAUAUCCCUAAUUAAGAAGCUGAGAACCUGUACACCGACCCACACAGACCAUAACUAACAGACUCUUCAGGCAUCUCCAUGCCAUUUAUUACUUGUUAAAAAAAACAAAAAACAGUGCAUUGACACCAUCACCCAACUGCUACCUAUAUGUAUAACAAUGGCAUAUUGUUUUCACUUUUGUAUUAUGAC